rnacentral:rRNA from 1 species
UACGUAGGGUGCGAGCGUUAAUCGGAAUUACUGGGCGUAAAGCGUGCGCAGGCGGUUUUGUAAGCCAGAUGUGAAAUCCCCGGGCUUAACCUGGGAAUGGCAUUUGGGACUGCAAGGCUGGAGUACGGCAGAGGAGACUGGAAUUCCUGGUGUAGCAGUGAAAUGCGUAGAGAUCAGGAGGAAUACCGAUGGCGAAGGCAGGUCUCUGGGCUGAUACUGACGCUCAUGCACGAAAAGCGUG